rnacentral:lncRNA from 1 species
AAUAUGCUCCGCACCCUCAGCCUGUUCUCACUCCUCCGCGGCGCAGCAGGUAAACAUGGCUGCUCUUCUUAAAUCUGUCUUUCGUCAUUUUUAUAGUUAAAUUUAUUGACAUUUAGCUGUGACAGCAGCUGUUUACAUGCACAUUCUUACUUUAUUCUUCUAAAUAUGUGCUUUAUUUGUCGUUUCAAUGUUGACUAGAUUGAAAUCAUGUAAAGUAGCAGAGUAGGCCUCAGCCACGUGCCUCAUUGCUCGUGCUUGGAUGCUAAUUAGCAUUUUGAACCAUUAGGUCGCCUCGCUGCAGCAAUCCCAUGCAUAUAUGAUGAUACACAUGUUGGUAGGGACAUCUGAAUAUAGUGAAGAAUGCCAACUGUUCUGACUAGAUGGGACUAGGCUUAAUAAUAAUUUGAGUUAGCUGCACACGUGCUACGUGUACAGUGUUAUAUUACAAACUAAAUUUAAGUUGCAUCGUUUUAACUCUUUAUAAUGUACUUUUCUCUUAAAGGCUUUUAACUUAAGUACUUCCAUUUUUUCUUCAGGUUGAAAAAGAUGAAAAGAACCAACAGGAAACAGAAAGAUCCGCAGGAGGAAACACGGACACAAGAAUGAAAACUAAAAGACUAAAGUCUCUCCUCCGCGGAGCAGCAGGUUUAACAAGAUGUUUCUAGACUGGGAACCACCUCAGAAUGCAAUGCUCGUCUCAAGGAAUGUCCAGAGACAUGAAGCAACUGGUGGAAAUGAGGUGUGCUCACAAUGGUUGACUUGACCUUCAAAUGACAUCCAGAGCAGGUAAUGCACAUUUAUUAUUUGACCUAGUUGUCCUAAAAUAAACUGUGAAUGAUGAGCUUGUUUACAAAAC